rnacentral:rRNA from 1 species
UACGAAGGGGGCUAGCGUUGCUCGGAAUCACUGGGCGUAAAGGGUGCGUAGGCGGGUUUUUAAGUCAGAGGUGAAAUCCUGGAGCUACAACUCCAGAACUGCCUUUGAUACUGAAAGUCUUGAGUAUGGGAGAGGUGAGUGGAACUGCGAGUGUAGAGGUGAAAUUCGUAGAUAUUCGCAAGAACACCAGUGGCGAAGGCGGCUCACUGGCCCAUAACUGACGCUGAGGCGCGAAAG